rnacentral:lncRNA from 12 species
AUGCAACUCGUCCCCAGCCUGUCCCGGCGGGGGCGGGGUGCCGCGGGUGGCGGGGUGGGGAUAGAAGGGGGGUUUCUGCAGAGAGCAAUCACAGCGGCCGGGCCUGCACCGGGGCAGACGCUCAAUUUUGUUUUUUGUUUGGCAAUAACGAUUCGCAUUAUUUUUGGUCUCCCCGGUGGGCACGGACUUCAAAGCGCCCCGCGGCGGAUGCGCUCUCGGGCUUUUGCGCGCAGCUGGAAACGCGCUGGGUGCAGUUGCGAAACGUACUGCGUAGACGCCCCCGGCGGCGCGGCGGAGGGAAGAGCCGGGCCUGCCCGGGAGCGAGCGAGCGAGCGAGCGCCGGCCCGCGCGAGGCCCGGGGCCUUGAGCACCGCAGCCAGUACCCCCACACCACACCCCCAUUCUGGGCCUCCUAGAGCUGGGUUUCUGGCCUUUGGAGGCGAUCCCGACAGAAGGGUCCAGAAGCGGAGACCCCAGACGCCCAGCUGCCAUGCACACACACACCCGGAAAACCCUGGGGUGAAACUGAGCAAGCUCCGGUAA